rnacentral:lncRNA from 1 species
GUUUAGUUUUCCUUUCUUUCACUAAUGGCUAUUGCUUACCCUCGUGUAAGCCGUUUGUGUAUGUUUCCGCUAGUGCAUUUCUUGUUUGAAUUUGUACAUGUGAUGAGCCUUGGGCGGAUAGGGGAAACUCUGUCCGUUCGGCGUCUGUUUGACGUGCUCGGGCCGGCCCAAAUCGGUAUUGAUUCCCGGGGCGUGACAGAUAUCGUGGUAUCAGAGCCAAGAGUGAAAGAAUAGGAAUGGACCUAGAGACCUAUAGGAUUGGAAGGCCUUAAGGAUCUAGGGAACGUGAGUGACGUGGGAUCAAAGUUAGCGAAAGCAUGUGAUUGGGUUAAGUAAGGACGUCUCUAAUGUGAUUAGAGGCUAAGUUUAAUUUUCAUUUAUCCUCUAC